rnacentral:rRNA from 1 species
UGGGGAAUUUUGGACAAUGGGCGGAAGCCUGAUCCAGCAAUGCCGCGUGUGUGAAGAAGGCCUUCGGGUUGUAAAGCACUUUUGUCCGGAAAGAAAUCCUCUGGGUUAAUACCUCGGGGGGAUGACGGUACCGGAAGAAUAAGCACCGGCUAACUACGUGCCAGCAGCCGCGGUAAUACGUAGGGUGCAAGCGUUAAUCGGAAUUACUGGGCGUAAAGCGUGCGCAGGCGGUUUUGUAAGACGGAUGUGAAAUCCCCGGGCUUAACCUGGGAACUGCAUUCGUGACUGCAAGGCUAGAGUAUGGCAGAGGGGGGUAGAAUUCCACGUGUAGCAGUGAAAUGCGUAGAGAUGUGGAGGAAUACCGAUGGCGAAGGCAGCCCCCUGGGCCAAUACUGACGCUCAUGCACGAAAGCGUGGGGAGCAAACAGGAUUAGAUACCCUGGUAGUCCACGCCCUAAACGAUGUCAACUAGUUGUUGGGGAUUCAUUUCCUUAGUAACGUAGCUAACGCGUGAAGUUGACCGCCUGGGGAGUACGGUCGCAA